rnacentral:lncRNA from 1 species
GAGGGCUUCAGAAAAAACCUGUAAUUCUCCACCCAUGAAGGAGGAUCAUCUCAGCAUGCUCUUUUUAGGUCCUGCAGACCCUAAUCUGUCCAAGAGCAGAGUAUUGUGGGAGUUGUAGUCCAGUCCCCUCUUUCUCUCUCACGAUUUCUCUGCCCAGGGCGGCUAAGGCUUUAGGCAAGCUGUAGGGGAGGAGCCCAGAGUAGCUGCAUUAGCAGGAUAGGCUGCAUCAGGGGGGGUGGACCGAAGUUUGUUUGUUUGCCUUUUUUUUUUGUAGGGGGUGGGGGGCGGUAGUAAUCCUCUUUGUAUUAACCCUUCCACAACCCAGGAUGACCCAAGCAUUUGGUAGAUGAUAGAUAUUCUCUCUGGGAUCCUUUAAGGGGUGUGGUUUAGCAGCACGUGGUCGUGCUCUGGGACUUUCCUACCCUGAAGAGGUCUCCUGAGUAGGAGGUAGAUUUUUUCCAGGGGGCACGGUCUAAACCCCAGGCUUUUGAGUCCUUAGACACGAUCUGGUGGUUUGGUGAAUUUGUCCUAUUGAAGACCUCCCAGGUGAAACAAAGAGACCUGACCUGGCCCCAUUAAUAAGAGGGGUGGGGAACCUGUGGCCAUGGCCUUGAAGCCUGAUCUACACCAUAGUUGUCCUGUCUUUUGCUGACUUAGAUGGAAUUUGGAUCUGUGUCUGGAAUCUUCUUCACUUCUCUUCUGGGGCAAGAUGGCGGUGAUGGAGAGAACUCUACCAGUAGUCACUGAUCACAGCCAGGAGCAGGAAUGGAGAAGUCUCUGAGAGACUUCUGAGAUAAAAUGAGAUAAUAUUAGUAAAGUAUUUUGCA